rnacentral:rRNA from 1 species
UACGAAGGGGGCUAGCGUUGCUCGGAAUGACUGGGCGUAAAGGGCGCGUAGGCGGACUGCACAGUCAGGCGUGAAAUUCCUGGGCUUAACCUGGGGACUGCGUCUGAGACGUGUGAUCUAGAGUGAGGAAGAGGGUCGUGGAAUUUCCAGUGUAGAGGUGAAAUUCGUAGAUAUUGGAAAGAACACCGGUGGCGAAGGCGGCGACCUGGUCCUUGACUGACGCUGAGAGACGAAAGCUAGGGUAGCAAAUGGG